AAGCAGCUUGCUGUCUUUGCUGACGAGUGGCGGACGGGUGAGUAAUGUCUGGGAAACUGCCCGAUGGAGGGGGAUAACUACUGGAAACGGUAGCUAAUACCGCAUAAUGUCGCAAGACCAAAGAGGGGGACCUUCGGGCCUCUUGCCAUCGGAUGUGCCCAGAUGGGAUUAGCUUGUUGGUGAGGUAACGGCUCACCAAGGCGACGAUCCCUAGCUGGUCUGAGAGGAUGACCAGCCACACUGGAACUGAGACACGGUCCAGACUCCUACGGGAGGCAGCAGUGGGGAAUAUUGCACAAUGGGCGCAAGCCUGAUGCAGCCAUGCCGCGUGUAUGAAGAAGGCCUUCGGGUUGUAAAGUACUUUCAGCGGGGAGGAAGGGGUUAAGGUUAAUAACCUUAGCCAUUGACGUUACCCGCAGAAGAAGCACCGGCUAACUCCGUGCCAGCAGCCGCGGUAAUACGGAGGGUGCAAGCGUUAAUCGGAAUUACUGGGCGUAAAGCGCACGCAGGCGGUCUGUCAAGUCGGAUGUGAAAUCCCCGGGCUCAACCUGGGAACUGCAUUCGAAACUGGCAGGCUUGAGUCUCGUAGAGGGGGGUAGAAUUCCAGGUGUAGCGGUGAAAUGCGUAGAGAUCUGGAGGAAUACCGGUGGCGAAGGCGGCCCCCUGGACGAAGACUGACGCUCAGGUGCGAAAGCGUGGGGAGCAAACAGGAUUAGAUACCCUGGUAGUCCACGCCGUAAACGAUGUCUAUUUGGAGGUUGUGCCCUUGAGGCGUGGCUUCCGGAGCUAACGCGUUAAAUAGACCGCCUGGGGAGUACGGCCGCAAGGUUAAAACUCAAAUGAAUUGACGGGGGCCCGCACAAGCGGUGGAGCAUGUGGUUUAAUUCGAUGCAACGCGAAGAACCUUACCUGGUCUUGACAUCCACAGAAUCUGGCAGAGAUGCCUUGGUGCCUUCGGGAACUGUGAGACAGGUGCUGCAUGGCUGUC
rnacentral:rRNA from 1 species